AGGUUUCCGUAGGUGAACCUGCGGAAGGAUCAUUGUCGUGACCCGAGAAUAAUAAAUUGACGGAAAUUUGUCCACCAAGGAUGCUGCUUUGAUGGGAUGCGCAAAGGACNGAGUAGGAUUUUCCUGCUUGCUUUUUUGUUGCUCCCGUCGGGCGGUUGUUGUCAAGCCAUUGCUUCCCCGGCGAGGGACGACGGUAGAUGAUUUGUUAAACCUGGCACGAUACGUGUCAAGGAUCUUCUUUGCCGUGUAGCCUGGCGUUGUUGUUAUUGAUAACUUUCGCUCGCAUCGAGAGCUAUUAUAAAGUCAUAUCUAUGAUGACUCUCGGCAACGGAUAUCUAGGCUCUCGCAUCGAUGAAGAACGUAGCGAAAUGCGAUAUUUGGUGUGAAUUGCAGAAUCCCGUGAACCAUCGAGUUUUUGAACGCAAGUUGCGCCCGAGACCUUUAGGUCGAGGGCACGCCUGCCUGGGCGUCAUGCCUCGUGUCACUCCAUCUAUAUCUCAUGCUCAUGCAUCGGGAAGGAUGGAAGUGGAGAUUGGCUUACCGUGUCUCUUAUGGCAUGGUGGGCUAAAGGUUGGAAUGUCAAUGUGGCAUAUGAACACGACUUGUGGUGGAUGGACAACAUUAUUGGCCAAGACCGAUGUCGUUUUCUUCCUUUGACAUUUAUUGCAAACAAACCUUUGAAGGUAUUGUUAUAUCUCGCGUGCGACCCCAGGUCAGGCGGGACCACC
rnacentral:rRNA from 1 species